CUGGAGGAAGGGGAUGGUGGUAUAACUGACUAUCAAAACACCAGGUCUUGUGGUCUGUACUGGCAUUAUUCAGGUGAGCAUCAAGACCUUGAAUCUGGUCCAGGAUGCAACAGAUAAUCAGUGCAGCCUGAAGAUAGCUUACAAGUGUGCUGGUAUACCUAGGCUCCAGAAGAAGUCAGUGUCCUACAGGAAGAAAACCUUCUGCCA